GUAGUCGUGGCUGAGCGGUUAAGGCGAUGAACUAAAAUGCCACUGGGGUCUCCCCGCACUGGUUCGAAUCCUGCCGACUACG
rfam:Lepisosteus oculatus unplaced genomic scaffold TNK5, whole genome shotgun sequence.